rnacentral:lncRNA from 1 species
CAAGUAACCAAUGGAAAUUUCAGAGGAAAUUUAAACCCCAGAAAAUUCUGUAACUGGGCUCUUGAGCCACUUGCUGGGGCCUGCUGCCGCCCUGUGGAGUGUGCUUUCGUUUUCAAUAAAUCUCUGCUUUCGUUCCUUCAUGCUUUCCUUGCUUUGUGUGUUCAUUUUGUCCAAAUCUUUGUUCAAGACGCCAAGAACCUGGACACCCUCCACCGGUAACAUAUUUUGGCGAGCCAGACAAGAGGUAAAGAAAGCUUUUUAUGGUUCACUAAGGACAAUCAACCCCUUCGCAAUCUAGAACCAAAAGACUGGAUCUUCUGAGAACAUCUACUUAGUAUGAUGCCUCUGGCUUCCCUCUAUCACACGUCUUCUUUUCGAGUAAAGGUUUUUCAUAAAUGUGAGCGUGGAAGAAGAAACCAGAUGGUGUCAGAAGCGGAUCCGAAGUGGAACUUUUAGUGACCCUCAGGAGCACUGAAUGAACAUGCAAGGAACCUGCAGGACCCACUUGUGUCCAUUGAUCUCUGGGAGCAGCUGGGAUAAGCUCCUUUUCGGAUUUCAGAGCUCCAUGGACUUGUGUCUUGAGAUCCCUGAGUUUCUUUGAGCAAAUUUCUGAUCCAAAAUGGGUUUGGCAUCAUGGCAGAAACAGGACUGGGUCCACGAAUGGAUUUGAUCCAGGAAUGAACUGGCUUGGAUCCAGUCAGAGGUCUCUUACAUCUGACUGGGAUGGUGUGGCAAGCUGAGUCACUAAGGCUGCUCAGGGAAAGGGAACCCAGAAUCUUGGCAUGCCGGCAAAAGGCCCAUGGUUCACUGAGGACAACUCCUUUGCAAUCUAGAACCCAAAGAUUGGAUCUUCUGAGAACAUCAGAGAAAGACUGUCCUUGCCAUCCACACUACAGCAAAGCUUUGGAGCCUUGAACCUUGGGUUCAUGAUCUUACAACUGAGAAGGGCCCCUCCACACUCCUGAACUGUACAACCAUUGAAACUCUUAAGGUAAAAUUAACUAGGAAAGUUUAUCUCCUUAAGAAGAUGGCAUCCUUGAUGUGAACAGCUUUUCCCAAGAUCCUGGAUCAAAACGUCUACUAUCACGAGACUCUUAUAUUUGAAUAUAUUUUCCGGUUUAUGCCUUUAGGAACAAUUGAAAUGAAAGGGGGAUCUAUUAUGUGCACUUAUAGGGUAUACUUUUAUUUGUGAAGGAUUUUGCAUCCAGCCUUAUAUGAAUAACCUUGUACUUUAAUAGAUAAAAGAUGAAGGCUCAAUGUAGGUGAGAAAAUGUAGUGGUACAUAUGUUGCCUCAUAAUCAGUCAAAACUCUUCUUAACCCACAUAAUGGAUUAAAGAGAAUAUUGCCAGGAGGCCUUCGCUUUUCUAAAAUGACAUCAUUUGUUAGGUCCUUUUUCCAUAGUUUAGUAUAAAAGAGGCAAUAAUUAGAAAUGUCACCCUCAUAAUAGGCUCUACAGCAAAUUCUACUUUAAAGGCUAUUGUUACACAACAGACUUUAAAUUAUCUUGUAAAAGUUAUGCUAAAUAAUAGAAUUGGCCAAACAGAAAAGUACCUGUGCAGUUGCUGACACCUGUGGCCUAUGGAGAAAUACAUCAAAUGUAGAUUAUACAAUUUCAGUUGUAGGGGAUUAAUGAAAAGACCACCUAGUCAAGCAAGUAGGCUCUUCAUAUAGCUCAUUCUUUAAUCUAUUUAAUUUUACAUGGUUUGGUUUAUGGGGACCCUGGGUAAGGAGCACACUCCAAAUUUGUUAUUAUUCUCCCAGUACUCAUAAUGAUAGUCUCCCUGAUGUGCUAUAUUCUCUUAAAGGUUUUAAAUGUUUGCAUGCAGCCAUCUCUAGAACAUCAAAUGGUCUCUAUUCAACCAGAAUGACAAAAGCUGAAAGAAAUGUGUGACCCUGAGGAUAUCGUAACCUACGAAUGAUGUGCUGAGACUGGAAACCCUAAAUGAUGUUACUGAGAAUGGCACUAAGGCCUUAAGUUUUGGUCACACUGUCACCUAAGUGAGAACCUGGCUGAAAAGGGAGAAUUUUUAAACAACAAAAUUAGAGGAAGCCACUAUUUUGGACUGAGCUCAUGCACUAGGCCCCAACAAACGAAACCAAGCUAAAAUGGAGUCACUCAUCCUAAAUGUGACAUAAUCAAACCAAGGCUUUAAGAACACAGAUAGAUGCUAGAACAGACUACAUUUUGUUUUUCUCCUGUAAACAGGAUGUCUAUCAUAAGGAGGUACCGUCUACUCAGUCCUUAUUCUCUCCUUGCAAAACCCACUUUUCUACUGUUUCCCAGUGGGUUUCAAACCAUAUAAUACAUUUAUGAUAGUGAUAUUAACAUCAAUGACUAAGGUUUUGGUCAAUCUCUCAAAAUUGAGAAAAUGACCAAAAGAGGGAAAUGAUUGCUAAAGCAAACUAAAUAUGGCCUGGGAAGAACUCCAUAGUCUUAUAUUUGAGUUCUUGCAGAUGAACUGUAACUUAGCUUAAUAGUCAGACAAAACUGAAAACCUAACUUAAUAGUAUGCGUCUGUAACAAUGGCUGAGUGUUCGCUAAUCCCAGCGGCCAUACUUCAACCACUCAUAGACUGCUGAAAGUUCAAAGUGCAUUCAAAUAAGGCAAAAACGGAGCUUAACCAGCCUCACUGUUUCUGUAUCUCACUUCCGAUUCCUGUAUGUCACUUUACCUUUUUUGUCUAUAAAUGUGUUCUGACCACGAGGCACCCCAGGUCUCUGUGAAUCUGUUGUAAUUCUGGAGGUGCCUGAUUCGCCAAUCAUUCAUUGCUCAAUUAAACUCCUUUAAAUUUAACUCAGCUGGACUUUUCCUUUUAUCAGGUUGAAUUUUACAUAUCUACUUUAGAUUUUAAUUUCUUCUAUAAAUUAAAAUCUAAUCUUCCAUAAUUUCUGAUAAAAUGUUUGUUAAAUGAACUCAAUGCAUUGGACAAAAAUUUCCUGUUGCUUUUCUUUCAAAGUACAUAAAUUGAUGCUACUUUUUCCACCUUUCUCACAUUUUCUCUGUCCCAAUCUUACACUGGAGGUUCAAUAGUCUUCUUCAUGCCUCAAGUUCUUUCUCUUGUAAUAUGAAAGGCAUGUGGCCACUUUCCUUUUCUAAUUCUUUCAUAAAUCUAAACAUUUUCACUACCUAUUGGUUACUAUGCUCACCAUCUGGGUGAAGGCAUCAUUUGUACACAAAAUCUAUAAAAUAUACUAUUUACUUAUGUAAAAAACCUAAACAUGUACCUGCUGAACCUAAAAUAAAAGUUGAAAAAGAAAAAUAAAUAAAUAAUACCUUCCCAGAAUAUUGCCUAUAGGAACAAGUCUAAAUUCCUUAAUACAGAGUAAAAUGGUAAUAAAAUUCUUGCCCUGAUUUUCUUUCUUAGGCCUAUGUCAUUUCAACACUCCCCAUCACCAUUCUUCCCCAAUCUCUUCCAUUUUUUGAGUCUAAAAUCCUUAAUACAUUGAAUUUUUGUUCAAUAUUUGUUAUAUGCCCAAAACUAUGCUAAGCUGCUGGACUCGUGCUCUUUCACAAUUCCUUUUCUGUUCCUUUCAGACUAGUGAAAUGAUACUGAUUUUUAAUGAUCUGUCUUUUCUUGGAAAUUUCCUAUUUCCAAAUGUCAAAAAAAGAACUUAUAAUUUUUGUCUCUCCAUUUCCAUAACACUUAUCAAUGUCACUGACAUAGCCCUAAUAAUUAUGAGAUGUACAUUGUUAGUUACACACAUUUCUUGUUUUCCUACUUUUGAUGUCUUUAAGGUCAGAGAUUGUAUUUUACUCGUUUGUAUUCCUAUCAGAAAAAAAACUGUGGCUUACAUGUAAUAUACAUUCAGUAAUUGUUUGAAUGAAAAAUGUAUUAAAAUAGUAUGAGUAUCCAAGUUGGUGAUUCAAUUUAGUUAAUCUCUUCUGAUACCCCUACCCCAAAAAGGCAUAUGUAAAAGUGCAUAAAAUUGUGUGUAUGAAUAUGUAGAUCAAUAGAUAGAAGCAUCUGUGAACACAAAUAAGAAAUUUAGGAAAUGAUUAUCUUAGAAACUCUUUAGCAUCAAAUCUUAUUUAUUUAUUUAUUUAUUUGCUAUAGCUUUUGGGGAAAAGUUGGAUUUUUGUUACAUGGAUAAGUUCUCUUGUAGUAAUUCCUGAGAUUUUGGUGCACACUGUACCCAAUCUGUAUUCUUUAUUCCUCACCCCUCUCCCCGCAUUCCCCUUGAGUCUCUGAAGUCCCUUAUAUCAUUCUUACGCCUUUGCAGCCUCAUAACUUAGCUCCCACUUAUAAGUGAGAUCAUACAAAAUUUGGUUUUCCAUUCCUGAGUUACUUCACUUAGAAUAACUGUUUCCAGCUCCAUCCAGGUUGCUGAAAAUGCCAUUAUUUCAUUCAUUUUUAUGGCUGAGUAGUAUUCCAUGGUGUAUAUAUGCCACCUUUUCUUUAUUUACUCUUUGGCCAGUGGACAUUUAGGCUGAUUUCAUAUUUUUGCAAUUGUGAAUUUUGCUACUAUACACAUGUAUGUGCAAGUGUAUUUUUCAUACAAUGACUUCUUUUCCUCUGGGUAGAGACCCAGUAGUGCGAUUGCUGGAUGAAAUGCUAGUUCUACUUCUAGUUAUUUAAGGAAUCUCCAUACUGUUUUCCAUAUGGGUGGUACUAGUUUACAUUCCCAACAGCAGUAUAAAAGUGUUCCCUUUUCACCAUAUUCACGCUAAUAUUUAUUAUUUUUUAUUUUUAAUUAUGGUCAUUCUUGGAUCUCAUUGUAUUUUCAAUUUGCAUUUCCCUGGUAAUUAGAGAUGUUGAGCAUAUUUUCAUGUUUGUUGGCCAUUUGGAUAACUUUUUCUGAGAAUUGUCUGUUCAUGUCCUUUGCCCACUUUUUAAGUUUAAUUUAAUACUAAUCCUACUAUUAUAUAUAUAUAUAUAAG